CAGUCUCAUGCGGUGAACCGCAACGGCUCAUUACAACAGCUGUAAUUUACUCGGUCUUGAACAGCUUACUCGGAUAACUGUGGUAAUUCUAGAGCUAAUACGUGCACCAAAGCUGUCCCCUACCGGGGGCAGUGCAUUUGUUGGAGCAAAACCAGGCGGCCUCGGCCGUUUACUAGCUGAACCAGAACAACUAAGCUGAUCGCAUGGGCUUGUCCCGGCGACGUACCGUUCAAGUAUCUGCCUUAUCAACUUUCGAUGGUAGUGUAUUUGCCUACCAUGGUUGUGACGGGUAACGGAGGAUAAGGGUUCGACUCCGGAGAAGGGGCCUGAGAAAUGGCCACUACGUCUAAGGAUGGCAGCAGGCGCGCAAAUUACCCACUCUCGGUUUGAGGAGGUAGUGACGAAAAAUAACAAGGUGGUUCUCUACGAGGCCCACCAUUGGAAUGGGUACAACCCAAACCCUUUAACGAGUAUCAAUGAGAGGGCAAGUCUGGUGCCAGCAGCCGCGGUAAUUCCAGCUCUCAAAAUGCAUAGAUACAUUGCUGCGGUUAAAAAGCUCGUAGUUGGAUUUGUGCUGGCGUCGUGGUCCACCCGAAAGGGCGGUACUGCGCUCGUCGGCUUUUGGCCGGUCUUCGUAUGGUCUCCCUAACCGGUGGUCAUGCGUGGCUGGCCGCUUUACUUUGAGCAAAUCAGAGUGCUCAGCACAGGCGUUUCGCCGGAAUGUUCGUGCAUGGAAUAAUAGAACAGGAUCACGGUCCUCUUUUAUUGGUUUUGUGGACUGAGAUAAUGGUUAACAGAGACGAACGGGGGCAUUCGUAUUGCUGCGUGAGAGGUGAAAUUCUUGGACCGCAGCAUGACGGACUACAGCGA
rnacentral:rRNA from 1 species